UACGUAGGGGGCGAGCGUUGUCCGGAGUUACUGGGCGUAAAGCGCACGCAGGCGGUCUGCUAAGUUUGGAGUGACAGUUGGUGGCUUAACUGCCAAAGUGCUUCGAAAACUGACAGACUUGAGGGCUUCAGAGGGACACGGAAUUCCGGGUGGAGUGGUGAAAUGCGGUAGAGAUCCGGAGGAACACCAAAGGCGAAGGCAGUGUCCUGGGGAGUACCUGACGCUCGAGGUGCGAAAGCCCAGGGGUGCGA
rnacentral:rRNA from 1 species